rnacentral:rRNA from 1 species
UACAGAGGGUGCGAGCGUUGUCCGGAAUCACUGGGCGUAAAGGGCUCGUAGGCGGCCAACUAAGUCGGAUGUGAAAUCCCCAGGCUUAACCUGGGAACUGCAUCCGAUACUGGAUGGCUUGAAUCCGGGAGAGGGAUGCAGAAUUCCAGGUGUAGCGGUGAAAUGCGUAGAUAUCUGGAGGAAUACCGGUGGCGAAGGCGGCAUCCUGGACCGGCAUUGACGCUGAGUGAGCGAAAGCCAGGGGAGCAAACGGG